rnacentral:rRNA from 1 species
GGGUUGUGAGGUUAAGCGACUAAGCGUACACGGUGGAUGCCCUGGCAGUCAGAGGCGAUGAAGGACGUGCUAAUCUGCGAUAAGCGUCGGUAAGGUGAUAUGAACCGUUAUAACCGGCGAUUUCCGAAUGGGGAAACCCAGUGUGUUUCGACACACUAUCAUUAACUGAAUCCAUAGGUUAAUGAGGCGAACCGGGGGAACUGAAACAUCUAAGUACCCCGAGGAAAAGAAAUCAACCGAGAUUCCCCCAGUAGCGGCGAGCGAACGGGGAGCAGCCCAGAGCCUGAAUCAGUGUGUGUGUUAGUGGAAGCGUCUGGAAAGGCGCGCGAUACAGGGUGACAGCCCCGUACACAAAAAUGCACAUAUUGUGAGCUCGAUGAGUAGGGCGGGACACGUGGUAUCCUGUCUGAAUAUGGGGGGACCAUCCUCCAAGGCUAAAUACUCCUGACUGACCGAUAGUGAACCAGUACCGUGAGGGAAAGGCGAAAAGAACCCCGGCGAGGGGAGUGAAAAAGAACCUGAAACCGUGUACGUACAAGCAGUGGGAGCACGCUUAGGCGUGUGACUGCGUACCUUUUGUAUAAUGGGUCAGCGACUUAUAUUCUGUAGCAAGGUUAACCGAAUAGGGGAGCCGAAGGGAAACCGAGUCUUAACUGGGCGUUAAGUUGCAGGGUAUAGACCCGAAACCCGGUGAUCUAGCCAUGGGCAGGUUGAAGGUUGGGUAACACUAACUGGAGGACCGAACCGACUAAUGUUGAAAAAUUAGCGGAUGACUUGUGGCUGGGGGUGAAAGGCCAAUCAAACCGGGAGAUAGCUGGUUCUCCCCGAAAGCUAUUUAGGUAGCGCCUCGUGAAUUCAUCUCCGGGGGUAGAGCACUGUUUCGGCAAGGGGGUCAUCCCGACUUACCAACCCGAUGCAAACUGCGAAUACCGGAGAAUGUUAUCACGGGAGACACACGGCGGGUGCUAACGUCCGUCGUGAAGAGGGAAACAACCCAGACCGCCAGCUAAGGUCCCAAAGUCAUGGUUAAGUGGGAAACGAUGUGGGAAGGCCCAGACAGCCAGGAUGUUGGCUUAGAAGCAGCCAUCAUUUAAAGAAAGCGUAAUAGCUCACUGGUCGAGUCGGCCUGCGCGGAAGAUGUAACGGGGCUAAACCAUGCACCGAAGCUGCGGCAGCGACGCUGAUGCGUUGUUGGGUAGGGGAGCGUUCUGUAAGCCUGCGAAGGUGUGCUGUGAGGCAUGCUGGAGGUAUCAGAAGUGCGAAUGCUGACAUAAGUAACGAUAAAGCGGGUGAAAAGCCCGCUCGCCGGAAGACCAAGGGUUCCUGUCCAACGUUAAUCGGGGCAGGGUGAGUCGACCCCUAAGGCGAGGCCGAAAGGCGUAGUCGAUGGGAAACAGGUUAAUAUUCCUGUACUUGGUGUUACUGCGAAGGGGGGACGGAGAAGGCUAUGUUGGCCGGGCGACGGUUGUCCCGGUUUAAGCGUGUAGGCUGGUUUUCCAGGCAAAUCCGGAAAAUCAAGGCUGAGGCGUGAUGACGAGGCACUACGGUGCUGAAGCAACAAAUGCCCUGCUUCCAGGAAAAGCCUCUAAGCAUCAGGUAACAUCAAAUCGUACCCCAAACCGACACAGGUGGUCAGGUAGAGAAUACCAAGGCGCUUGAGAGAACUCGGGUGAAGGAACUAGGCAAAAUGGUGCCGUAACUUCGGGAGAAGGCACGCUGAUAUGUAGGUGAAGUCCCUCGCGGAUGGAGCUGAAAUCAGUCGAAGAUACCAGCUGGCUGCAACUGUUUAUUAAAAACACAGCACUGUGCAAACACGAAAGUGGACGUAUACGGUGUGACGCCUGCCCGGUGCCGGAAGGUUAAUUGAUGGGGUUAGCCGCAAGGCGAAGCUCUUGAUCGAAGCCCCGGUAAACGGCGGCCGUAACUAUAACGGUCCUAAGGUAGCGAAAUUCCUUGUCGGGUAAGUUCCGACCUGCACGAAUGGCGUAAUGAUGGCCAGGCUGUCUCCACCCGAGACUCAGUGAAAUUGAACUCGCUGUGAAGAUGCAGUGUACCCGCGGCAAGACGGAAAGACCCCGUGAACCUUUACUAUAGCUUGACACUGAACAUUGAGCCUUGAUGUGUAGGAUAGGUGGGAGGCUUAGAAGUGUGGACGCCAGUCUGCAUGGAGCCGACCUUGAAAUACCACCCUUUAAUGUUUGAUGUUCUAACGUUGACCCGUAAUCCGGGUUGCGGACAGUGUCUGGUGGGUAGUUUGACUGGGGCGGUCUCCUCCUAAAGAGUAACGGAGGAGCACGAAGGUUGGCUAAUCCUGGUCGGACAUCAGGAGGUUAGUGCAAUGGCAUAAGCCAGCUUGACUGCGAGCGUGACGGCGCGAGCAGGUGCGAAAGCAGGUCAUAGUGAUCCGGUGGUUCUGAAUGGAAGGGCCAUCGCUCAACGGAUAAAAGGUACUCCGGGGAUAACAGGCUGAUACCGCCCAAGAGUUCAUAUCGACGGCGGUGUUUGGCACCUCGAUGUCGGCUCAUCACAUCCUGGGGCUGAAGUAGGUCCCAAGGGUAUGGCUGUUCGCCAUUUAAAGUGGUACGCGAGCUGGGUUUAGAACGUCGUGAGACAGUUCGGUCCCUAUCUGCCGUGGGCGCUGGAGAACUGAGGGGGGCUGCUCCUAGUACGAGAGGACCGGAGUGGACGCAUCACUGGUGUUCGGGUUGUCAUGCCAAUGGCACUGCCCGGUAGCUAAAUGCGGAAGAGAUAAGUGCUGAAAGCAUCUAAGCACGAAACUUGCCCCGAGAUGAGUUCUCCCUGACUCCUUGAGAGUCCUGAAGGAACGUUGAAGACGACGACGUUGAUAGGCCGGGUGUGUAAGCGCAGCGAUGCGUUGAGCUAACCGGUACUAAUGAACCGUGAGGCUUAACCUUACAACGCCGAAGCUGUU